rnacentral:rRNA from 1 species
UACGUAGGGUGCGAGCGUUAAUCGGAAUUACUGGGCGUAAAGCGUGCGCAGGCGAUUCGUUGUGUCGGCGGUGAAAGCCCCGGGCUCAACCUGGGAACUGCAAUGGAAACUGGCGGGCUUGAGUGCGGCAGAGGGGGGGUGGAAUUCCGCGUGUAGCAGUGAAAUGCGUAGAGAUGCGGAGGAACACCGAUGGCGAAGGCAGCCCCCCUGGGCCGACACUGACGCUCAGGCACGAAAGCGUGGGGAGCAAACAGG